rnacentral:rRNA from 1 species
UUCUUAUAGAUUUUAUUAUAAGUAAAGUCUGCUCAAUGCAAACAGUAAAUAGCCGCAGGAUUUAUACUGUGCUAAGGUAGCAUAAUCAUUAGCCUUAUAAUUGAAGGCUUGAAUGAAAGACUUAACACUUAAAUUACUUUCAAAAUAUAAUAUUAUAAAUUAUACUAAUAAUAAAAAUAUUAUUAUAAAUAAAAUAGACAAUAAGACCCUAUCAAACUUAACUUUAGUUAAGCUGGGGCAGCUUAAUAAUUAUACUUUUAUUUUAUAAUCCUAUAUAAAAAUCUAAUAAAAUUAAUAAAUAAACAAGUUACUGUAGGGAUAACAGCGUAAUACUUUUCUAAAGCUCUUAUUAAAAAAAUAGAUUACGACCUCGAUGUUGAAUAAUAUACCUUUAUAAUGAAACAAAUAUAUAAGGAGGUCUGUUCGACCUUUAAUAUAUUACA